AACGAACGCUGGCGGCAUGCCUAACACAUGCAAGUCGAACGAUGCCUUCGGGCAUAGUGGCGCACGGGUGCGUAACGCGUGGGAAUCUGCCUUUCGGUUCGGAAUAACUCAGGGAAACUUGAGCUAAUUCCGGAUAACGUCGCAAGACCAAAGAUUUAUCACCGAAAGAUGAGCCCGCGUAGGAUUAGCUAGUUGGUGAGGUAAAGGCUCACCAAGGCGACGAUCCUUAGCUGGUCUGAGAGGAUGAUCAGCCACACUGGGACUGAGACACGGCCCAGACUCCUACGGGAGGCAGCAGUGGGGAAUAUUGGACAAUGGGCGAAAGCCUGAUCCAGCAAUGCCGCGUGAGUGAUGAAGGCCUUAGGGUUGUAAAGCUCUUUUACCCGGGAAGAUAAUGACGGUACCGGGAGAAUAAGCCCCGGCUAACUCCGUG
rnacentral:rRNA from 1 species